rnacentral:lncRNA from 1 species
GUUCAAUAAACACAAUAGAACUUGAGUUUAUGUGUCUAAUAGAAAUAACCUUUUAGAUAUCCAAAUUAAAAAAACAAUGGACAAAUUUAUGGGACUAUCAGGAUACAAAUAAAAUAAGCAAAUGUGUACGUCAAAAUUCACGUAAAUGUAUGAUUUUAUAUACAAAAUCUUAGAGUGAAAGUUUAUUUUCCACCGACUACCAAAGGAUCCGAAAAUAUAGUACUCUUCCUUUCUU